AAAAAUGUGUGAUUCACAAGAUCUUUCCUUUUAAUUCAAAGCCAAAUAAGUAGUUCAGUCUUUCACUGCACAAACAGGAAGGGCGUUUGAUGGAAUUACAGCAGGUAAACACAAUCUAUGUUAGUGAUGGCACUGGGAACCUUUGACUACAAAAGGUCUCAUGCAUCCCCAAAAAGAGCACUGAGGGUACUCAAGUCACUGUGAGUGCUGGAUCACUGAGCUGUUGGUCUAUUCUGGUCUGGAGAACAAUGCCAAACCCUUGGGGGAAAGGACUUUGAAGAUGUGAGCUAUCCUAGCAAGUACUGCAUCAUCUCACUAUCUUAAAGGAAGAUCGUGUCUCCUUCACUCCAUCACUGGGCCUCAAGACAACAUCUUGUCCUCUUGUCCAGGUUGAUAUAUACUAUGAAUACUCCAUUCUUUUAAAGAAGAGCUGGUACAGGUCCUAAAGCAGUUUGAGCAGUACAGCAAUUCUACAGGCAUGGGAUGAGAAAGGCUGAAUGUGGAAAGUCUGGACAGGUACAUGUUGAAGAACGUGAAUAUUUGGAGGACCAAGUUUAAACAAGUUGGAAGGAAGCACCUUCUCUAUGUUGCAAGGCUGGAGUUUGCAUGAAGCAGAUCAUAUACAACCACGUAGACCUGGGCUCACUUCAUCGGCAUUUCAUCUGCUCUAGAAAACAGAGGCAAGUGUUCAAACUGUCACGGAGAAUAACAUGUGGCCAAAAUUACAUGUGGUUCUAUCUCUCAUAACAAGUCUUAGAAUGAUGCAUCAUACCAGCUGUCUGGGAACAAAUGUAUUUUGUUGGCAUGGGAACAAAAGAAUUAGUCUGAAUUUUGUAAUUAAACUGUGGUUAUUAAAAUUACUCGAAACAAACCAGAAUAAUAACCAUUAAACAUGAAAAGUCAAUAAAAGUCUUUGAAUUACAUUUCUGUUGCAAUUCCUGUUUUCAUAACGUGCUUUGGGAUGAAACAUAGCUUUGAGUUGUUAGUACUUUUAAAUAGACUUCACUGCAGAUGAGUUAGCCAACAGCAGCUAAGACUGUGAAGUUUUAAAAUCCUUUAUGGAAAAUGAAAAUUAAAGGCUUGGAAAUCUGUAGAAGACCAAUUCUUUUUAACAAUUGUCACAAUUAUUGCACAAUUGAUUUUCUGUCUCUAUAGCAUCUUCUUCUUUAAGGCUGCCUGUGACUCCAUAGAUUUGUUGGUUACCCUUGAUGAUGACUGAGGUGGUUUAAAGAUAAGCAGUGCUAUCCACUGAAAGCUUUAAGUUUAUUGAUUUUGGUUCUCCUAAUAACCAUGCUACUCCUGGAUAGAUCACUGGGCAUUGUGGGAGGCAAAUCAACUCUUUGGGAAUACAAAUGAUACUAGUUGUAACGGUAUAACAGGCGGAAGGAGCUAAGGAGCUUCCAGAGUCGUCUAAUAUUACCCGAAAGCUACUUAUACUAAAGGGACCAAGUUUUAUUCUUUAAAAACCCAGAGACCUAGGAAGGAAUCAGCAGAAUGCUAAGUUCAUCUAUAGAGAAAAAUCAAGGACUUUUUUGGUGUCUUUUCUGCUUUGGCCUUCUUAUAGGAGAGAUUUGAAAGAAAAAUCUGUCUUGUUUUAGAGGAGAGCAGAAAGGUGGGUGCCACGGGCAGGGCACUGGCAUUUUGCUUUCUCUUCAUCUUUCCCUGACCUGUGAAUGCUUUUUGGUGCUAUAAUGUCUGAGGAAUAGCUGAGGGCCCAGAGAAGCCAUGAAUGAUCCUACCAGAUGAAAUGACCACCCCGGAUGAAAAUGAUAAAAGAAUAUCUUUAAUAUUUGUUUUGAUAAAAGUCUAGACAAGAAUACACUGAGAAAAAGUCACUUAGAAUAUGUUUAGGAGGCCCAAUACCAAGGGCCUGUGAUCAGUACCCAAGUUCAGCAACUUUUGGAACUCUUCGUCCUCAAAGUCCCUGUGGCCUGUGAUGCUGCUAAUUCUUCCUCCCUCCUUCUCUCCAUCUGUCACCCUCCCU
rnacentral:lncRNA from 1 species